rnacentral:rRNA from 1 species
UACGUAGGGGGCAAGCGUUGUCCGGAAUCAUUGGGCGUAAAGAGCGUGUAGGCGGCCAGAAAAGUCCGCUGUGAAAACUCGAGGCUCAACUUCGAGCUGUCGGUGGAAACUUUCUGGCUAGAGUCCGGAAGAGGAGAAUGGAAUUCCUGGUGUAGCGGUGAAAUGCGCAGAUAUCAGGAAGAACACCAAUGGCGAAAGCAGCUCUCUGGGACGGUACUGACGCUGAGACGCGAAAGCGUGGGGAGCGAACAGG